UACGUAGGGUGCAAGCGUUGUCCGGAAUUAUUGGGCGUAAAGAGCUCGUAGGCGGUCUGUCGCGUCGGCUGUGAAAACCCGGGGCUCAACCCCGGGCCUGCAGUCGAUACGGGCAGACUAGAGUGCGGUAGGGGAGACUGGAAUUCCUGGUGUAGCGGUGAAAUGCGCAGAUAUCAGGAGGAACACCGAUGGCGAAGGCAGGUCUCUGGGCCACUACUGACGCUGAGAAGCGAAAGCGUGGGGAGCAAACAGG
rnacentral:rRNA from 1 species